rnacentral:rRNA from 1 species
CCUACGGGAGGCAGCAGUGAGGAAUCUUCCACAAUGGGCGAAAGCCUGAUGGAGCAACGCCGCGUGAAGGAUGAAGGCCUUCGGGUUGUAAACUUCUUUUAUGAGUGAAGAAUAUGACGGUAACUCAUGAAUAAGCACCGGCUAACUACGUGCCAGCAGCCGCGGUCAUACGUAGGGUGCAAGCAUUAUCCGGAGUGACUGGGCGUAAAGAGUUGCGUAGGCGGUUUAGUAAGUGAAUAGUGAAACCUGGUGGCUCAACCAUACAGACUAUUAUUCAAACUGUUAAACUCGAGAAUGGUAGAGGUAACUGGAAUUUCUUGUGUAGGAGUGAAAUCCGUAGAUAUAAGAAGGAACACCAAUGGCGUAGGCAGGUUACUGGGCCAUUUCUGACGCUAAGGCACGAAAGCGUGGGGAGCGAACCGGAUUAGAUACCCGGGUAGUCCACGCCGUAAACGAUGGAUACUAGCUGUUGGAGGUAUCGACCCCUUCAGUAGCGAAGCUAACGCGUUAAGUAUCCCGCCUGUGGAGUACGGCCGCAAGGCUAAAACAUAAAGGAAUUGACGGGGACCCGCACAAGCGGUGGAUCAUGUUCUUUAAUUCGAUGAUAAACGAAGAACCUUACCAGGGUUUGACAUCCCGAGAAGAUUUACGAAAGUAAAUUGUGCCUUUUGGAACUCGGUGACAGAUGAUGCAUGGCCGUCGUCAGCUCGUGUCGUGAGAUGUUUGGUUAAGUCCAUCAACGAGCGCAACCCUUGUCGUCAGUUGUAUUUUUCUGGCGAGACUGCCCCGGUAACGGGGAGGAAGGAGGGGAUGAUGUCAGGUCAGUAUUUCCCUUACGUCCUGGGCUAGAAACGUAAUACAAUGGCUAGUACAAUGCGCAGCGAAGCCGCGAGGUGAAGCAAAUCGCAUCAAAGCUAGUCCCAGUUCGGAUUGGAGGCUGCAACUCGCCUCCAUGAAGUCGGAAUCGCUAGUAAUCGCGGAUCAGCACGCCGCGGUGAAUACGUUC